CAAAAAUCUUCACAGGCUGAAUGGUCGACUGUUGGAGGCGGAGCCAGAUUACAUAAAACACCUGUCAGAGGAAACAGCGAAGCUUCAGAGACUUUAUGGAGGAGGAGACCUGACCAGCUUCCCUCAGUUCACCUUCACUGAUCCUGAAUUGGACCAAGACUCCAAAUGAUCCACCGGAUGCUCUUCAUGCUCCUCCUUUUUUGCUGACUUUUG